rnacentral:tRNA from 1 species
AAGAAAGUGACAGAGUGGUGAUGUGGUCGGCUUGAAACCGAGUUAUGGGGGGUUCAAUUCCCUCCUUUCUUG